GGGGACAGGCUCUAACACCUUGAUUCCUUAUGUCUGUGUCUCUGCAGUAUGUUUCAUGGAGAGUCUGAGUGACAGCAACCAUGAUGAAAGUGAUACAGACUCAGUGGUGGAGAGCCUGAGCAGCCGCCAGGAUGAGGAGGCUGCAGGUAGGGAAGAGCACGCAGCUGGGAUCCAGUGGGAGAGGGUUCCUGGGAGCACCUGGGUUCCGCCUGCUGCCGGGAGAGGGAGGAAGUGGGGGAUAGGACUUGGCGGGUGGGUGGGUGGGUGGCCUAAUGAGUGGCACUCUGCUGUGGUGUUUUCCCCUGUGAAAUGGAUACCACGAAGAAGACUUGGGUCCCUGGUCUUUGUUGUGCUGUGUUUGUAUUCCUCUCUCCUUUUCUUUGAGAGGGAGAAUCGAUUUUCCCUCCCAAAGCUGCUCCUUCCUGCUUUGGUCUCUGCCCGUUGUGCAAGUUUGCUUUGUGAUUGGCACCGUGAGGGCCCAGUGCACAAGAGCUGUUGACUUGGUUUCCUUUAUUGGCCUUGAGGGACCUGAAGUGGUGGCACCUGAAGUGGUGGCACCUUGACCCUGGAGACCAAGUUGGUCGAGUGAGUGUCAGGUGGUGGGUGAGAAGGCAGCUCUCUGGCUCUGCAUGUUUGGGAUUUCUGGCCUCCCUGUCCUAUUGUGUCCUCACGGUGUGUCCUGAGGGAAGGGAUGUUCGCAGAGUUGGAUGAGUUAAAGGAGGCAUACUUGGAGUUCCAGUGGUUAAGGAAUCCAACUAGGAACCAUGAGAUUGCGGGUUCGAUCGCUGGCCUCACUCAGUGAGUUAAGGAUCCAGUAAUGCCGUGAGCUGUGGUGUAGGUGGCAGAUGCAGCUGGGAUCCUGCCUUGCUGUGGCUCUGACAUAAAAUGGCAGCUACGGCUCCUAUUAGACCCCUAGCCUGGGAACCUCCAUAUGGCAUGUGUGUGGCCCUAAAAAGCAACAAGUAUCAAUAGAAAAAAAAAUAGAGAAAUCAGGCAGCACAGAGAAGGAAAUAUCGUGCAACUCAACAUAUAGGCGGUAACCA
rnacentral:lncRNA from 1 species